rnacentral:lncRNA from 1 species
AAACCAUCCAAAUACCAUUCCAUCAAAAGAUAAUCAGAGUAUAAGUUUGAAGUUUCAAUUAAUUAUCAGAGUAAAAUCAUAAAAACAGAUAGUGUGGAAAUCUUUAGUAGAUGCGAUGCAAUCAAAUCGGACUAUUCCAUUUGCUACCUGAAACAUUUAAACUUAAACCGUAAGCACAAAGCUUAGUGAGUUUUCCUAGAUACCACAUAUAACAAAAUAACAAUGGGUCUGGUCCUAGGGGUAUAUUGAUGGGUUUUCUAUGUUAAACAAAAACAACAUAUUUAUGUAGCGAAAUCAUAAAACUAUUUUAUGGGCACAUGCAACCUAAAGAUCUAUGACAUUUUUUCAUUAUAGCAACAUACUAAGUAAAACCGAUCUAAUCAAUUUAUAUGUAAGAACAAAUAAGACUAAUAACAUACCUUGAACUGUAGUCGGAUACACUUACUCCUUGGAUAUUCAAUAGCUCAUGGAAAGUAAGCGCCAGAAGCAUGUCUCUAAUGACUCACACCCAAAACCUUAGAACACUAGAAAUCGAAAGGGGGAGGAGGAAAGAAGUGAAAUUCAUAUUUCAUUCUUCUUGAUAUUAUUAUCAACGAAAAUUAGAUGCUAAUGGAAGGUAUUUAUGUAACGCCUGUGUUUCGGGCUUGCCAUUUUUAGCAAUGUAAUAGUCUAGGUUAACCUUUGUAACCCGUUUUGAAAUAAUAAUAAUGUAUUAUUUGAGUAUUAUGUGUUUUGUGCUUAAUUGCUUAAUUAUGUGGUUUGAUUAAUUAAGAAUAAAAAUAAGCGUCAAAAUUUAAGUGUAAAAUAAACUUAAUAUAUUUGGUUAAUGUUGUAGUAAUUGAAACGAGGUUUCCGAAUAUAUAUAGAACGCCCAAAUCUGACUUCGUAUGAGGAAGUUAUGAUUUAUCGAAGUUCCGGCUUAGCGGUAUACAGCCUGUUUUACUCGAUUUGAGAUCGAGCGGUUGUUAGCCGAAGCAAUCUAAAUGAGAAUCGAAGAUCUCAUUGUUGGUAUCGAAGCGAUAAAAAGUUAGGCAAGAACGGACGUCAAACGAAGAAGUUAUGAAUUUAUAACGAAGUUUUUCUGUCGCGGCCUAUUAAAAAUAAAUAAUAAAAAUAAAAUCAAAAUUAGCCGACGGAGUCUAAACGAAAGUCGUAGAGCGUGGUCUCACCUUCCCGUGGAUAUAAAGAACGUCGAAAACGGAGUUCGUAUGAAGAAGUUAUGAAUUUCCGAAGUUUAUUAAUCAUUUUGUAUUUAUAUUUAAAUCAAAAUUCGGAAGCAUUAUCCGAAGGAGUCACCGAUCUGAUCCGAGGUACGCCCCGCGUACUCCGAGGGAUGUCGACACUCGCACUCGAGCACUUCGGAUACGUAAGCAAUGACGUUUUGGGCAGUACGCCCCGCGUAACGCAGUACGCCCCGCGUACUCCGAGGCUCCAGCCUCCUAUAAAUAGGAUGCGAGGGUUCCGGGUAUUUUUGCCAAUUCCCUCUCGUUUUCGUGUCGAAGCUCUGCGCAAAAACCCCCGAAGCUACCCCGAAGUCCCGGUAUCAUACUCUAGCCCCGAGGCAAGUCCCGAGAUCCCGAAGAUCCCGAAAAGUGCGGUUCCCGAGUCGAAGCUCUGCCCGCGAGAAGUUCGAUUUUCGAGGAGAUCUUCCAGAUCUGCUGUGGAUUACUACUUCUAUAAGCCGUAGUGCUGUCCGAUCAUCUUCUGAUCAAGUGAGUGUGUAGUUAUUUCUUCUAAUACAAUAAUACGAAGUAUUUUAUAUAAAAAUACGUGCUAUGUGUAUAUAUUUGGUUGUGUUAUGUGUGAAUGAGUAUUCACUCUCUUCUAUCUUAUAGAUCUGCUUAUUUCUUUAUGAGAUAUGUGUUAUGUGUGUGUGUGCCUCAUCUGUUAUGUGAUAUAUGUGUUGAUUAAAGCAUGCUAUACAGGUUUUCUUUAAACUAUGUAUACAAAUGUAUAUUUUUAUCUACUAAUAUGUUGGGUAGAACAUGGGUAGACAGUUGGUGUGUAAUAAACAGAUGAGAGGCCUCGUUGUUGUUUGAUUGAGUCAUCUAGCGGAGUUUAGAUGACGACCACUGGCUAUUCUAGACAGUCUUGUGGAAACAUUAGCAGGUUCGCCACCUGUAGGUGUUAAUGAACUUGGGUGUUCAUUCGCUGUACUCCAUCCCCCUCAUGGUUGCCUUAUUUGACUUAUAUUGCUGAGGUACCCCCGAAGCAUGUGUUGUCGCCCCGAUGAAAUAUUCUUAGACUAGGUCCCUUAUGUUAGUUGUUUUAGGGACAUUAAAGUGAGAAUAACGGGAAUGGGUAAUUGGGUUAUUGUUGGUUGGUGAAAAUUAAAUAUGAUAUUUAUUGUGGGUUGAAAACCCUAUAUGCUCACCAGGCUCCCAAGCCUGACCCACUCAGUUUUAAAUUGUAUUACAGGUAGUGGCGGAAGGGCAUGAGAUGGAUGAACCAUCAAGUUGUUUUGUUUACAAGUCUGCAUAUGUUUAUAUUUGUUAUAUGACUUGUAAUGUAUUCGUUUAUGCUUAUUGGUCUGUAUCGGAACAUGACACCCCGAGUUUUGAUUAUAAUGAAAAUACAUUUCUUUUAUGAAAUGCUUCGGUAAACAAUGUUUUAUCAUGUUUUGUUUUUGGGAACAAAUUCCGCAACUCUUUCAAAUCAAAAGGAUUUACUCUGAAAAUAUUUAAAAGCAUAAAUGAAAAUCGGUCUUUUCUGGCCGAGAUUUUGGGGAUGUCACAGUUGGUAUCAGAGCAUUAGUUUAAGCGAACUAGGAAUUUGUAGGAUUUCUAGACUUAAACUUAGAAUGCUAAGUGAAGUUUUGAGAUGUGUGUCUGUUGUGAUUUAGACACGAGCACUAGUUUAUUUUAGGAAAGUUGCCUAAAAUGCUUUAUGUGCUAAAUGUUAUAUGUUGCCAUAUAUGAUAUUAUUUGUUCGGAUCUAUGGUCUGUUGCCGACCGGAUCUAGAAACCUUAUGUGUGUAGGAUUCUAAGCGUACGUCUACGAUAUUAGAACUAGCAUGUAAACGUUUCGGAGUGAUAAGGAUGAUUUGAAUAUCUAUCAUGAUUGAGGAUCUAAUUUCACCUUAUUCGGUGUAGAUCAAAAUGGUGAGAACAAGAAGUGGAGUUGGAAAUGCUGACGAAAACAGGAAUCAACCACCAGUGAUUGAGCCAAUACCUGUCGUAGCAGCAGCACCUGAGCCAAUAACCAUGGCUGGUGUGCAAUUGAUGAUUCAGACGAUGUUGGAUCGUCAGAUGGAUGAAACUAGACGGUUGCUUCAACAAAAUCGUGAAGAACUGUCGAUUCGUGUGGAAGAGCCUGAACUGAAUGAAGGGCACUCGGAAGGUGGAAACUUCAGUGGGUCUGUUGGUCCAGCCAACCCACCGAUAGUUAGGCAAGAUAACCAUGAUGGAAGGAAUGAUGGAAUGGGAUGCAAGUACAAGGACUUUUUGACUUGUAAACCAUCGACCUUCAAUGGAAAGGAGGAUCCGAUUGGGGUUAUGGAUUGGAUCUCCGAAAUGGAGUUAGCCUUUAUGACAUGUGGCUGUAGAGGCAAGUUGCAGACUAUCUAUGCCGUGCGACAAUUCCGAGGUGGAGCCGUUCGUUGGUGGAACACUCUAGGGAAGACCUUAAGCCCUAAUGAGCCACUGCAAUUGUCAUGGGCAGAGUUCUUGGUGCAGUUCAAGCGCAAGUUCUGCUCGGCUCAAAAUCUGUUGGAGUUGGAGAACAAGUUUUUGACAUUGACGAAGGGUAGCAUGUCAGUGGAUGAGUACACCAAUAACUUCACCGAUAAGAUGGAGUUUGCCUUGCGUAUCGUUCCAGACGAGCUGACAAAGGUGGAUCGGUAUGCGAAGGGACUUCCAUGGGAGUACGAGGUGCCGGUACGUCAGGCACUUACUCUAGAGGCAGCUAUCUGGGCUGCCAAGUCUGUGGAGAACAUGAUCAAGGGGAGAACCACCGUCAAGGUUGAGGUUGGUGAGAAAAGGAAGUUUGAAGGAACAUCUGGUUCCAGUAAGAAGAGCAAAUUUUCGAAAUCUGAUUCGAAAAAGUUUGGAGGAAAAGGAGGCGAAGCAAAGUGGUGUGAUAAGUGUAAGAAAAAGCACUUUGGGAAAUGUAGCGAGGAUGUGACCUGCUACAAGUGUGGAAAGGUUGGACAUUUUGCCAAUGAAUGUCCGAACAACAAAAGGAUGUGUUUUGGGUGUAAUGAAGAGGGGCAUAUUUUGAAAGACUGUCCGAAGAAGAAGGAGGCAGCUAGGCCCAACAUUCCACCAAAGCCGAAGGCGAGAGCCUUCCAGAUGACACUUGAGGCUGCGAAAGAUGAAGCUGAUGUCGCUUCAGGUACCUUUCUCGUAAACGAAUUACCUGCUCAUAUAUUGUUUGAUUCUGGAGCCAACUACUCCUUUAUUUCGCAUGAGUUUGGUAGAAAGCUAGCUUUGCCUGUUGAUAGACUAGAUAAUGCUUUAUUAGUCGAAGUAGCUAGUGGCAAGUUUGUACCUGUUAGCCAUCGUAUGAAAAACGUCUUGAUCGACCUUAAUGGGAAUAAGUUUCUCGAGGAAUUAUUGCCUAUCGAACUAAAUGGUUUCGACAUCGUCUUGGGAAUGGAUUGGCUUAGCGCCAAUGAUGCCGAAAUUUUGUGCAAGAAGAAGAUAGUUAAAGUAAACCCGCCUGGGAAAGAUUCGUUUAUGGUGUAUGGGGACAAACGCAGAGUGAAUUCUGGAAUCAUUUCUCUAAUGAAAGCCAGAAAGUGUUUGACCAAGGGAUGUACAUCAUAUUUAGCAUUCGUGAUUGAUGCUAAGAAAGAAAAGAAGGUGAUGCAGAGCAUUCCAGUGGUGUGUGAUUAUCCGGAAGUAUUUCCCGAGGAUCUUCCUGGAUUACCACCUGAUAGACAAGUGGAGUUCAGAAUAGACUUGUUACCAGGAACCACGCCAAUAGCAAAAGCACCUUAUCGAUUAGCACCGACGGAGAUGAAGGAGCUGAUGAUGCAACUUCAGGAGUUAUUGGACAAAGGUUUCAUUAGACCUAGUUCAUCGCCCUGGGGAGCUCCGGUGUUAUUUGUAAAGAAGAAAGAUGGAAGUAUGAGAAUGUGCAUCGAUUACAGAGAGCUGAACAAGGCAACAAUAAAGAAUAGAUAUCCGUUGCCGAGGAUUGAUGACCUGUUUGAUCAAUUGCAAGGUUCGAGCUAUUUCUCGAAGAUCGAUCUUAGGUCAGGAUAUCAUCAGCUGAAAGUAAGAGAGCAAGAUAUCGAGAAGACUGCAUUCAGAACUAGAUAUGGACACUACGAGUUCUUGGUUAUGUCGUUUGGACUAACCAAUGCUCCAGCAGCGUUCAUGGAUUUGAUGAAUAGGGUUUGUAAUCCUUUCCUUGAUAAAUCCGUGAUAGUGUUCAUAGACGACAUUCUGAUCUACUCGAAAAGCCAGGAGGAGCAUGGCAGACACUUGCGAGAAGUGUUAGAAGUUUUGAAGAAGGAGAAGCUUUAUGCGAAGUUCUCCAAAUGUGAUUUUUGGAUUCGUGAGGUCCAAUUCUUGGGUCACGUGGUCAACCAAGAAGGGAUAAUGGUUGAUCCAGCGAAGAUCGAAGCUGUGACGAAGUGGGAACAACCGAAAAGUCCCACGGAGAUUCGAAGCUUUUUAGGAUUAGCCGGAUAUUACCGAAGGUUUAUCCAAGGCUUUUCUUCGAUUGCUACUCCAUUAACAGCUUUGACCCACAAAGGAGCUACUUAUGCUUGGAGUGAGAAGCAUAAAGAAGCAUUCGAGAAGUUAAAGAAGAAGCUAUGCGAGGCACCGAUACUUUCUCUACCCGAUGGAGUUGAAGACUUCGCUGUUUAUAGCGAUGCGUCUGGUGUUGGAUUGGGUUGUGUUUUGACCCAAAGAGAAAAGGUGAUAGCAUAUGCGUCUCGACAGCUGAAAGAGCAUGAAAAGAAUUACCCGACUCAUGAUUUGGAGUUGGCAGCGGUAGUUUUCGCUCUGAAAAUAUGGAGGCAUUACCUCUAUGGCACGAAGUGCAAACUUUUCACUGAUCAUAAGAGUCUCCAAUACCUCUUUAAUCAGAAAGAAUUGAAUAUGAGGCAACGACGCUGGCUAGAAUUACUUAAAGACUACGACUGCGAGAUACUUUACCACCCCGGUAAAGCUAAUGUUGUUGCUGAUGCUCUCAGUCGGAAAGUCAAUCUUGAAAGGAAGAGGCCAAGAGCGUUGAGAAUUGAAGUUGUCUCGACUAUUGUGGAAAGUAUAAAGAAAGCUCAAGAGGAAGCUUCUGAGAAAAAUGACCGAAAGGAGGAACGUUUGGGUAAAACGUUGGUGUUUGGUACUAACGGUCAUGGACUGAAGGUAUUCCAAGAUCGUAUUUGGGUACCUAAGUCAGGAGGAAUUAGGGAUCUUCUGAUGGAAGAAGCUCACAAAACCAUGUACUCAAUUCAUCCGGGUAGCACUAAAAUGUAUAGGGACCUGAAACCCUACUACUGGUGGCCGACGAUGAAGCUUGAUGUUGCAAAGUAUGUGGCCGAGUGUGUGACUUGUGCGAGAGUCAAGACACAACAUCAGAAACCUUACGGGAGUUUAGAACCAUUGCCUGUGCCUAUGGGUAAGUGGGAAGACAUUGCUAUGGAUUUUGUCACUAAACUGCCCAGAACAAAGAAUGGUCACGACAUGAUUUGGGUGGUCGUUGAUCGAUUCACUAAGAGUGCGCAUUUCAUAGCGGCCAGGGAGAAAUGGUCUAUGGAAAAGCUUGCGAAUUCUUACGUGAAGGAAAUUGUGAGGCUUCACGGUGUUCCGUUAACGAUUGUAUCGGAUCGUGAUAGCCGUUUCACCUCAAGGUUUUGGAAAAGUCUACAAGAGGAAAUGGGUACCAAGUUAUGUUUAAGCACAGCUUACCAUCCGCAGACUGAUGGUCAGAGUGAAAGAACAAUACAAACACUUGAAGAUAUGCUGAGAGCAUGUACCUUGGAAUUCCUAGGUAAUUGGGAUGAACAUUUACCGUUGGUAGAAUUUUCCUAUAAUAAUAGUUUUCACUCGAGCAUUAAGAUGGCACCUUAUCAAGCUUUGUAUGGACAGAAGUGUCGUACGCCGUCUUGUUGGCUUGAGGCUGGGGAAAAGCAGUUUAUGGGACCGGAGAUGGUUCAUCAAACUGCUGAAAAGUUGAAAAUAAUUAGGGAAAGAAUGUUAGCAGCUCAAGAUCGUCAAAAGAGCUAUGCUGACAAGAAGCGAAGACCGAUGACUUUUGAGGUUGGAGAUUCGGUUUUGCUUAAAGUCUCGCCGUGGAAGGGACUUAUAAGAUUUGGUAAAAGGGGAAAGUUGAGUCCAAGGUUUAUUGGACCGUUUAAAGUCCUUCAGAGGAUUGGGAAUCAAGCUUACAAGCUCGAAUUACCCGAAGAACUGAAUGGAAUUCACAACACCUUUCAUGUGUGUUAUUUGAGGAAGUUCACGGGAGAAGUUCCCGAUAUAAUUCCAAUUUCUGAAUUGAGAAUUGAUGAGAACAAAAGGUUGAUUGAAGAACCAGAGGCAAUUGUUGACCGAAAGACUAAGAAGUUGCGACGCAAAAUGGUUGGGUUAGUGCUUGUCCGAUGGAAACACACGAAUGGGCCGAAUCUCACCUGGGAGACGGAGAGUGACAUGUUGAGUCGCUAUCCGCAUUUGUUUGUUGAUGUGUGAUUCCGGGGACGGAAUCAUUCUAAGGUGGAGAGAAUUGUAACGCCUGUGUUUCCGGGCUUGCCAUUUUUAGCAAUGUAAUAGUCUAGGUUAACCUUUGUAACCCGUUUUGAAAUAAUAAGAUUGUAUUAUUUGAGUAUUAUGUGUUUUGUGCUUAAUUGCUUAAUUAUGUGGUUUGAUUAAUUAAGAAUAAAAAUAAGCGUCAAAAUUUAAGUGUAAAAUAAACUUAAUAUCUUUGGUUAAUGUUGUAGUAGUUGAAACGAGGUUUCCGAAUAUAUAUAGAACGCCCAAAUCUGACUUCGUAUGAGGAAGUUAUGAUUUAUCGAAGUUCCGGCUUAGCGAUAUACAGCCUGUUUUACUCGAUUUGAGAUCGAGCGGUUGUUAGCCGAAGCAAUCUAAAUGAGAAUCGAAGAUCUCAUUGUUGGUAUUGAAACGAUAAAAAGUUAGGCGAGAACGGACGUCAAACGAAGAAGUUAUGAAUUUAUAACGAAAGUUUCUGUCCCGGCCUAUUAAAAAUAAUUAAUAAAAAUAAAGUCAAAAUUAGCCGACGGAGUCUAAACGAAAGUCGUAGAGCGUGGUCUCACCUUCGCGUGGAUA